rnacentral:rRNA from 1 species
UACGGAGGGUGCGAGCGUUGUCCGGAAUCAUUGGGCGUAAAGGGCGCGUAGGUGGCCCGGUCAGUUCGUGGUGAAAGCGCGGGGCUCAACCCUGCGUCGGCCAUGAAUACUGCCGCGGCUGGAGCACUGUAGAGGCAGGCGGAAUUCCGGGUGUAGAGGUGAAAUUCGUAGAUAUCGGGAGGAACACCGGUGGCGAAGGCGGCGACCUGGGUAGAUACUGACGCUGAGGUGCGAAAGCGUGGGGAGCAAACAGG